rnacentral:rRNA from 1 species
GCAAGUCGAACGGUAGAGGGGGCAACCCCUUGAGAGUGGCGAACGGGUGAGUAAUAUAUCGGAACGUGCCCAGUCGUGGGGGAUAACGUAGUGAAAAUUACGCUAAUACCGCAUACGAUCUAAGGAUGAAAGCGGGGGAUCGCAAGACCUCGUGCGACUGGAGCGGCCGAUAUCAGAUUAGGUAGUUGGUAGGGUAAAGGCCCACCAAGCCAACGAUCUGUAGCUGGUCUGAGAGGACGACCAGCCACACUGGAACUGAGACACGGUCCAGACUCCUACGGGAGGCAGCAGUGGGGAAUUUUGGACAAUGGGCGAAAGCCUGAUCCAGCCAUUCCGCGUGCAGGAUGAAGGCCCUCGGGUUGUAAACUGCUUUUGUACAGAACGAAAAGGUUUCUAUUAAUACUAGGAGCUCAUGACGGUACUGUAAGAAUAAGCACCGGCUAACUACGUGCCAGCAGCCGCGGUAAUACGUAGGGUGCAAGCGUUAAUCGGAAUUACUGGGCGUAAAGCGUGCGCAGGCGGUUAUAUAAGUCAGAUGUGAAAUCCCCGGGCUCAACCUGGGAACUGCAUUUGAGACUGUAUAGCUAGAGUACGGUAGAGGGGGAUGGAAUUCCGCGUGUAGCAGUGAAAUGCGUAGAUAUGCGGAGGAACACCGAUGGCGAAGGCAAUCCCCUGGACCUGUACUGACGCUCAUGCACGAAAGCGUGGGGAGCAAACAGGAUUAGAUACCCUGGUAGUCCACGCCCUAAACGAUGUCAACUGGUUGUUGGGUCUUAACUGACUCAGUAACGAAGCUAACGCGUGAAGUUGACCGCCUGGGGAGUACGGCCGCAAGGUCGAAACUCAAAGGAAUUGACGGGGACCCGCACAAGCGGUGGAUGAUGUGGUUUAAUUCGAU